rnacentral:rRNA from 1 species
UACGUAGGGUGCAAGCGUUGUCCGGAAUUAUUGGGCGUAAAGAGCUCGUAGGCGGUUUGUCGCGUCGACUGUGAAAACCUACAGCUUAACUGUGGGCUUGCAGUCGAUACGGGCAGACUUGAGUUCGGUAGGGGAGACUGGAAUUCCUGGUGUAGCGGUGAAAUGCGCAGAUAUCAGGAGGAACACCGGUGGCGAAGGCGGGUCUCUAGGCCGAUACUGACGCUGAGGAGCGAAAGCGUGGGGAGCGAACAGG